rnacentral:lncRNA from 1 species
CCCGAGUGGUAAAUUUUGGAGAUGUUGUACUUGUGUACUCUGGUUCAACUCCUGUGAGGGUGUAUUUUCGUUUCCUGUUGGAGUGAAAAGAACAUAGUAGAUUUGAAUGCAAAUGAGAAGGAGCACACAAUUAGAAAUGAGUCGAAGAGAGAGAAACGAAACAAUGAGUCUUGUAUUUAAGACAAAUACAACAAAUGUGAUUUAUAAUAAAACAAUGUAACAUGCUAGGAUUGUAAGAAAGACGAAA